UACGUAGGUGGCAAGCGUUGUCCGGAAUUAUUGGGCGUAAAGCGCGCGCAGGCGGUCUCUUAAGUCUGAUGUGAAAGCCCCCGGCUCAACCGGGGAGGGUCAUUGGAAACUGGGAGACUUGAGUGCAGAAGAGAAGAGCGGAAUUCCACGUGUAGCGGUGAAAUGCGUAGAGAUGUGGAGGAACACCAGUGGCGAAGGCGGCUCUUUGGUCUGUAACUGACGCUGAGGCGCGAAAGCGUGGGGAGCGAACAGG
rnacentral:rRNA from 1 species